GCCUCCGGCUCCGGCCAGGGGGAGGCAGGGAGGCCGGGACGUGUCCGCCCGCCCGUCCUCCUCCCGGACCUCUCCGGACGCUGACCCUGGAGCCCCCCCCGCGCCCCGGCUCCCGGACGGAUGGACACCGGGCUCGGGCCGGGUCUGCCACGGGAGCCGGACGAUCCCUGACCGGGCCAGGGAAUCAAGGCGAAGGAGGCGCAGCGGGAAGACCCGGGGACGGGGCUGCGGGGGUCCCAGCCUGCUGCUGACGGACGAUGAGAGGUGGCAGACGCACACACGUACACACGCACAACCUCCCACCCAUGCAGAUAGGCACGGACAGACACAAACAGAUCCCCCCACCCGGCCUCCUGACAGUUGGAUGCAGACGCGGAGAUUCCGCCCCCGGAAUGCGGAGACGCCUCAGGUAUUCCGGUGGGUGGUGAUGCGGGACGGGCAUCCAGACACCAACCUACUCCCGGGCAGAGAUGGGCUCAGAAGGAUGACAUUCGGAGAGGAAAACGUGGGCACGGACCCUCACGGGCGGGCGCUUUUACUCCGCCGAAGACCCUCAGAGCCAGACAAGGACCCGUCACAUCCCACGCACGCCAAGGGGAUCCACACUGUGACCCACGCUCGCUGGGGCUCUGAGGAUGGGAAGGAGACGUGUCCAGACGAAAGCACCCAGACGCGCACACGCUCCCGGACCGCAGCGCCCCUUCCCCACCCAUCCCCGGCUCGGGGUGCCCCCUCCCCCCCCCCACCUUUACCAUGCUUCUCCUCCUCGCCCCGGGGGGAUGCACCCCACGGGAGUCCGGCCGUGAGAAUGUCCAGGUAGAUAUCUUAAAGGAUAAAUUGCAUCAGCCAAGGCCGGCAGCGGGGCUGCCUCCCGAUCGGUA